AAACCCGAAACCGCACGAACAUUGACGUGGAAAUUGAAGUCCUUUAUUACCGACACGGUCCUCCAUGUUCGAAUGAGAGAUGCGUGCUUCGGUAAAAGUAAAUUUACUACUAUUCUAUUAAACUCUCUCUUUUUGUUUUGUCGUUACUCCUAAAAUUAGGAAAAAAGUAUUAUCUAAAAUCUAUUUUUUUAUACUAGAUUUCUGAAAAAGGGAAAAAAAGGUGAUGAGGAGGAGGAGGAGGAGAUCCAAUCCUUAGAUUCAUGUGAACUGAACUGUGAAGCCGUUUGCUUUGGGAACUGAAGCCUUCCUCUCACCAUGUUUCAUGUUUCAUGUUUCAUGUUUCUUUUCUCUCUCACACUACCUCAACAUUUACCUUCACUUUUUUUUUUUUUUUUCCUUACAUUCGAAGUUAUUUAUUUUUAGCUUCUAUUCAUACAUAUUAGAGCCUUAAAUACACACACAGUACGUAUGACGGAGUCGCGAUUAGUAAUAAAAUUUUCGUUUUUAAAAUAAGUAAUUCUAAAGUGGUAGAGCCCAAGUCUAGCAGGUUUAUUUCCUUUCAAGGAUGUAAA
rnacentral:lncRNA from 1 species